CCUACGGGUGGCAGCAGUAGGGAAUUUUGCGCAAUGGGCGAAAGCCUGACGCAGCAACACCGCGUGAAUGUUAAGCCCUUCGGGGUGUAAAGUUCUGUCAAUAGGGACGAAUUUUGACUGUACCUAUAAAGGAAGCACCGGCUAACUCCGUGCCAGCAGCCGCGGUAAUACGGGGGGUGCAAGCGUUGUCCGGAAUCAUUGGGCGUAAAGCGUUCGUAGGCGGCAAGGUAAGUCUGAUGUUAAAGCCCGGGGCUCAACUCCGGUUCGGCAUUGGAUACUAUCUAGCUAGAAUGUGGUAGAGGUAAAGGGAAUUCCUGGUGUAGCGGUGAAAUGCAUAGAUAUCACGCAGAACUCCGAUUGCGAAGGCAGCAUACCGGCGCCCAACUGACGCUGAAGCACGAAAGCGUGGGUAUCGAACAGGAUUAGAUACCCCGGUAGUC
rnacentral:rRNA from 1 species